rnacentral:lncRNA from 1 species
CACUGAGUGCAGUAAUCGCAGCAAAUUCUCUGAACUGGUAACCAAGUAAGCUGAGGAAUCGACGAUAAAAAUUUUGAGCGAAUGCUCCAAGCCAUUCACUAUCACGGCCUUCAAGGACUCUCAACAUUACACAGGUAUGCUCGCCCGUUAGAUCAUUUGCAGUCUGCCUUAAGUACAAAGGACAAUAACCCUCUCGUUUCCAGAAUUUUUGCAAUGACGGUGUUAGACCAUACGAAACACCAACAUAGUGUAAAGGCUCUGGUUGAAGUUCUGAAAGCUUCAAAAGCAAAGGUGGCAUGGUUUUUGCAUCUCUCACAUGAAUUUUUUCAGUUUGCAAAGCGGUAUUCUCAAUCUCUUCGUCCCCAAUACGCUUAAGAGAAUGUUUAACAGCUUUAAAUUCCUCAGAUGCGCUUAUAAACUUUCCUUCAAAAUAUUCAUGUAGUAAUUGCAUGGCUCUAGUUCCGUAGCCCAUUUUAACAUGUUCAGGAGAUACAGCAAUACGAACAAUACGAGCACCACCUAAAGCCGCAAAAUUCUCGUCUUGAAACUGCUGAGAAAUUAGCCAUGGGAUCAAGUCACCUCCAGCUCUUUGUCCCCGACUUAAACUGUUCAUAAUGCUUUCUCUGGAAAUGGAACCCUCCAGUGCUAAUUGAAUGACACAAAUUGGGUCAGGGAGUUUUGGAUUCUUUAAAUCUACAGGAGGAAGCAGAACAAACAACUGAUGCGCAGGAGCAUCUGACAUAAGUUGAAGGUCAUUCGGCGAAUUUUUGUAAUGGCUGGCAACAUAUAACGACAUCAUUCUUUGCAAAAAAGCUUCAGAAAUAGGGUGAUACGAAAAUAAGGUAUCACGACUCACUCUGUACAAAGAACAUUCUGAAGGAUGAGGAAAACCCUGAGUCGCCAUCCGUGAAACAUAACUUGCUGCAUCUAAACAUAAUAAUUUGUUCAACCAAAGCUCAAUACGAUCCCCCAUUGCAUACCUUAUAGGUUCGUCUAAAGAAAUCUCUUUCAGUGUACGGCCGGAAAUAUGUGAUUGCGAAUCAGACUUAUUAUUUCCGCUACCUGAAUAAAUUCUGGAUUGCUCACGAAGCUGUUGCAAGAGUUUUAAUGAUAAAGAUCUACCAGUUCCCUCAUAACCGUUAAUUGUAGAUGCCAUAAAUACCAAAUAAGGGCCAAUAAGCUUUCGAACUAAUGGUAAAGGAAUGGCUGCAGCUUCAUCAAUAACAACAAGUUCAGCUUGACCCAAAACAUUUGAAUCCUCGGGACUAAUAUAUUGAAUUGUUUGGCGAUGAUCACGGAAGAUAUUUACUCGCACUAUGGCAUUGUGGUAGGCUGGAUUCGUUGAUUGAAUAAUAUCGUAAUCAACGUGUUCCUCAUAGUUUAAAGCAUCAAAUCCUUUAAAAAUAAAUUCAAAUAAAGUUUUUAAGUUUUCAGGACUAGGCGAUGUAAUAAAAAUAUUGGAGUAGCCGUGAGCUAUAGCAGCGGCAAUAGCAAGGCCUAAAGCAGCGGAUUUACCUCUACCACGACCUGCUGUUAAAGAGACUGUUCCUU